UACGUAGGGGGCAAGCGUUAUCCGGAUUUACUGGGUGUAAAGGGAGCGUAGACGGCGGCGCAAGCCAGAUGUGAAAGCCCGGGGCUCAACCCCGGGACUGCAUUUGGAACUGUGCUGCUAGAGUGUCGGAGAGGCAGGCGGAAUUCCUAGUGUAGCGGUGAAAUGCGUAGAUAUUAGGAGGAACACCAGUGGCGAAGGCGGCCUGCUGGACGAUGACUGACGUUGAGGCUCGAAAGCGUGGGGAGCAAACAGG
rnacentral:rRNA from 1 species